ACAGUGUUUUGAAUGUGUCAAUCAGGAGGGAAGGGAAAGGAGUUUGAAGAAAAGAAACUUUUGCAAUAAAUCUUAUAAAAAAAUUUUCUUACCAUUUCUUCAUUUUAGAUGAAAAAAAGUUCUGAAGCCAAAAUGAGAAAAAAUGUUCCGCAUGUCUAUUCAUCAUUUAUCCCAUUCAUAACGUCAAUAAUAUAUUUUCGUGCAAACUCAACCAAUAGUUGCAGUGACGACAGAAGCAAAGGUACAACUCCAUCAAUGAAAUAUUCUCUAUGCAAUCAUUCAUUUUGAAAUAAACAUUAUUGGCUUAAUAGAAACUCAUGCUUAUUUUAGGUAUUAAAAUCCAUUAAUAUUGAUUAUUAUUAUUAGUUCAUAAAAAUAGUGAAUAUGUACUUUUUACAUAUUUAAGGAAUAUAUUAAAAUAAAGAUUUCAAUGGUGAAUAACAUGUAAAUGAAUGGUGUUAACGUUUCGUAUGGAAUUAUUUAUCAUUUUUUGUGCAGAAAACACACCCAUCUCACGCACGUGAGAACUUACAAAAAGUUUCAAUACACGCGAGAUAAAAAAAGGGUCAGUAAAUUACACAUAUGACAGGCCCUUGGCUUGAUAAAAACCAAACCCUAAAAAAUUAGGGGUCAAAAGAAUAUUUUAUUUUUAUUUUUGAUUUUUAUGAACAUGUACACAAUUUCCAAAACAUGUUUUUAAUUCAGGAUUGGGAAUAAAAAUACUUGCUGUAGGAUAGUAGAGAGUCGGUGCUUUACCACGGAAUUAGUUCCUGCGACAAACAUCGAACUGGUACUUAUAAAAAGAAGUUAUGACGUAUUGUUAUUUGGUUGGCAAAUAAAAUAAUUGUUAUAUAUAUAUAAUGUCAAAUCCACUUCUUAACCUAUCCUUUAGAGUGAAUUACGGUCACAGUUUUGUAUCUCAAAUUUUCAGCCUUCUGAUUGGCUAGAGAUGCCGUACGGGUUGUGGUGUACGUAACGUCCGUGAAAGUAAAAAGGCAAACAAAGAUGGCAGAAAAGAUGUAGCGUAUCUGCAAAAUUCCACUGGCAUCAGGCACAAAAAACGCGAAGUAAGCCGUCUAUAGCUAACACACCUGAAGAUAGGAAUUCUAACAUCAGGCACCAGUAGGUAUGUGUGAAUAUGCAGUUCGUGAUGGAAUUUAUUCAUUACAACCCGAUUGUAAGAAAAACAACCGAUUAAAACGUUAUGAUGGAAGAACAGCAAAAUAGCAUAUUAUAAACAUGAAAGUCGUUUUUGUUCUAUGGUAAUAGUUGUUGUGAUUAUUAUAAAUAUAUAUAUAUAAAAAUGAGUAAAAUUUGAAAAACCAGAAAAAGACGAUUGCUGUAAUAAUAUCUCCUAUAUAAUUUGAAAAAAGUCCGUCUGGGUGUGAGGCAAGGUAAAUUAUAUUUUCUACAAUUUUCUUUGCCUAAAGAAACAUCUUCUAAAACUAUGUUUUGUAUUUUGAAACUUCUUUAAUUGUCUAAAACAAAUCACAUGAUAAAAGGAAAUAAUUUCAUUAGCUGGGAAUUUUGGCAGUUUUACCCUAAUUUAAAUUUGCUAAAGGUUUUUUAAAAUGGACUCUUAUUAUACGAAUUUAUGUUUUGCGUUUGAAUGACGUUUUUAUAUGUCGAAUAUCCCAAAUAGAAAUUACUAUCUGCAAGGAAUCUUUUUACUCCUUGAUGGUUACUCAUGUUUCUAAUCAAAUAUUGGUAGAGCUUAGAGAUAUUUUAUAAUUUUGUUGUUUUGUACAACCCAUACUCAAUUUAUUUUGUUUUGUAAUUAUCUAAAAAAUAGAAAGUAACGAGCUGUGACUAUUGAAGACUGUUUACUUUUUGUUCUCAUUUUCUUGUAAUUUGAGUUAUUGUCGUGAGAAAAAUAAUACCUUAAAAUUUUGUUUUAUGGUAAAGAAAUAUUGUACACGAA